rnacentral:pre_miRNA from 3 species
UCUUAUGGAUGAACAAAGAAAGUGGUUUCUUGAGAUGGAAUCCACCCCUGGUAAAGAUGUGUGAA